rnacentral:rRNA from 1 species
GGACGAACGCUGGCGGCGUGCUUAACACAUGCAAGUCGAGCGGUAAGGCCCUUUCGGGGGUACGACGAGCGGCGAACGGGUGAGUAACACGUGGGUGACCUGCCCUUAGCUCUGGGAUAAGCCUGGGAAACGUGGGUCUAAUACCGGAUAUGACUCCAUGACGCAUGUUGUGGGGUGGAAAGCCUUGUGCGGCUAGGGAUGGGCCCGCGGCCUAUCAGCUUGUUGGUGGGGUGAUGGCCUACCAAGGCGACGACGGGUAGCCGGCCUGAGAGGGCGACCGGCCACACUGGGACUGAGACACGGCCCAGACUCCUACGGGAGGGCAGCAGUGGGGAACGUCUUGCGCAAUGGGCGAAAGCCUGACGCAGCGACGCCGCGUGAGGGAUGACGGCCU